CGAACGGGUGAGUAACGCGUGAGUAACCUGCCCUGGAGUGGGGGACAACAGUUGGAAACGACUGCUAAUACCGCAUAAGCCCACGGAUCCGCAUGGAUCUGCGGGAAAAGGAUUUAUUUGCUUCAGGAUGGACUCGCGUCCAAUUAGCUAGUUGGUGAGGUAACGGCCCACCAAGGCGACGAUUGGUAGCCGGACUGAGAGGUUGAACGGCCACAUUGGGACUGAGACACGGCCCAGACUCCUACGGGAGGCAGCAUG
rnacentral:rRNA from 1 species